AACGAACGCUGGCGGCAUGCCUAACACAUGCAAGUCGAACGAGACCUUCGGGUCUAGUGGCGCACGGGUGCGUAACGCGUGGGAACCUGCCCUUAGGUUCGGAAUAACUCCCCGAAAGGGGUGCUAAUACCGGAUAAUGUCUUCGGACCAAAGAUUUAUCGCCUUUGGAUGGGCCCGCGUUGGAUUAGCUAUUUGGUAGGGUAAAAGCCUACCAAGGCGACGAUCCAUAGCUGGUCAGAGAGGAUGAUCAGCGACACUGGGACGAGGACACGGCCCAGACUCCUACGGGAGGCAGCAGUGGGGAAUAUUGGAAAAUGGGCGGAAGCAUGAUCCAGCAAUGCCGCGUGAGUGAUGAAGGCCUUAGGGUUGUAAAGCUCUUUUACCCGGGACGAUAAUGACAGUACCGGGAGAAUAAGCUCCGGCUAACUCCGUG
rnacentral:rRNA from 1 species